UCUGUCCGUAGACACCUAAAACAAAAAAAAACUAAAUUUUCAACGGUGGAUAUCUUGGUUCCCACACCGAGGAAGAACGCAGCGAAAUGCGAUAAGCAAUGCGAAUUGCAGAAUCAGCGAGUCAUCAGAUAUUCGAACGCAGUUGGCGCCGUGGGGUAACCCCCUGCGGCAGGUCUGUUUCAGUGAUUUUGAUUAUUCCAAAACUAAGUGUGAUUGAACUCCGGUUCUCUCAUUAAACCCGAGUGUCAGGUGUCUUGACCCAGUGAAGUGGUCACUGCCUUAUGGCUGGUGAUAUUCGCUGGCUCUCUAGGUACUGCAGCACAGGCUCUCUAGUCUUUAAUCAUAAUCUAUCCUGAAAUCAGGCCAGAUCACCCGCUGAACUUAAGAAUAUCAGUAACGGGUUUGCCAUUUUUGUUUUAGGCGCAUGGUCAACAUGGUGUUUUCGCGGAGGCGUGUUCAGGAGGUGUUCGCGAUCGUUCGCCCUUUGCGCCGGUUUUACCUGGGUUUCACGCCGUGAGAAGAGUGAGAAAAGAAGUGCCUGCCACUAGGCUGCCGUAUCCGUAAGCUGGUUUGGCUGCGCGUGACCACAGCAUGCUGUGCAACGCGUAGUGUUUGUCAUUCUGCGGUGAGGCAAGGGCGCUCAAGAUGUUGGCAAAAUGGUUUCAAUCGACCCGUCUUGAAACACGGACCAAGGAGUUUAGCAUAUGUGCGAGUGUUAGGGUGUCAAACCCGUAACGCGUAAUGAAAGUAAAAGUUGUAGUUUCGGCUGCAGCUGAGGUGAGAGGGCGUAAAACCCCGCAUCAUCAACCGACCAUGCGUCUUUGACAAAAGGUUUGAGUCUGAGCAUAUCUGCUGGGACCCGAAAGAUGGUGAACUAUGCCUGAAUAGGGCGAAGCCAGGGGAAACCCUGGUGGAGGCUCGUAGGGAUUCUGACGUGCAAAUCGAUCUUCAAAUUUGGGUAUAGGGGCGAAAGACUAAUCGAACCAUCUAGUAGCUGGUUCCCUCCGAAAUUUCCCUUAGGAUAGCUGCAACUUGUACAGUUUUAUCAGGUAAAGCGAAUGAUUAGAGGCAUCUGGGCCGAAAUGGUCUGGACCUAUUCUCAAACUUUAAAUGGGUAAGAACCGGCACUUGCUUAAGUGAAGUGUCGAGUUGAAUGGAAGUUGUUAGUGGGCCAUAGCUGGUAAGCAGCUCUGGCGAUGCGGGAUGAACCGAACGUGAUGUUAAAGUGCCAGAGUGCCCGCUCAUCAGAUCCCACAAAAGGUGUUGGUUCAUAUAGACAGCAGGACGGUGGCCAUGAAGUCGAUUCCGACUGUUU
rnacentral:rRNA from 1 species